AAGGGAAGUGCAUCUUUCUCCAGCGCUCUUCUCAUUGAUGAAAUGUUUCCUUUUCCUCUUCAAUUAUUCAGACCGUUUUCAUUGGAGAAGUCCCAGCGGUGCCCCCGGUACCGGUGCCAUGACGGGUAUGAAUAAAGGACGGUACAAUCUGGAGCCUCAGCUUGCACAAGCGGCCGCCAGGACGUGGAGCGACUCAAUUAACCAUGAGGCCGGCCAGGUUCACUUUUUAACUCGGAUUCCAUCGAUGGACCACUUGCCGCCGAGCCUCAAAUGUUACAAGGACAGCUUUUAUAUGCGAGAGGAGACUAAGGGCAUCUAAAAAUGGGCAAAAAACGGCACAAAAUAGAGACUGUGGCGUAUAAUACAAGGUAAGUUAAGACGUUUGUUUUUGAUGCCUUUUCUAAACUUGUAUCUCGCUUCUGGAGGAGACUGAAGGCAAUUAAAAAUUGGGCUACUACCCUGAAAAAAUACUAUUAUUAUUAUUAAUAUUAUUAUUAUUUUGAAAACUGCUCGAGCAAUGAGGGCAGAUGUGAAAUCUGUGCAAUUUUUUUUUAUCUGCAUUCAGAUUUCAAAAUGUUGUUUCAAAAAAUUAAUAAAAUGUUGUUUGUUAGUGUUUUUUAAUUGAAUGACCCAGAUUUUUCUUUUUUAGAUGUUCAAAGCAAAAAUGCAACCGAAAUGGUUUAUUUCCUUGCACUUCCACACUUCCUAAGUGCGUCCAUAUGUGGGCCACAUUGAGCUGCCUGAUGCGAGUAAUUGUGGCACGCUGGGAAACGGCGCAUUAAGGUUUACAACUUGUGAAAAGAGGUACAGUACCAUCACCUGCGUUGGCCCCCGAUAUGGCGCCGCGCUCGUCUGUACUCGCCAACACGGCCGGGCUUCAAUUUAAAAUCACUGUAACCGUUCAGUCCAACAUGCUCGGCAGCUAGCAUCCUAUUUUCCUACGCUGGCUGAAAGUGGCCUGGCCUCCUCGGCCGACCUCUUCCUCCCUCCACUCGCUGCUUUCAAGCCCAGAUCAAAUGUUAGCUAGCCCCUUUAAGGAGCAAAACGGUUUGAUGUGGAUCAGCAACUGCCUACGGAGGACUUUAAUCUGCAAUGCCAUGCUAUGUAUUUAAUUUCACAUCCUCUUAUGCCUCUGUUUAGGAUUACCCACGGGAGAGGGGGCACUUUGUGGGGUGCGCGAGCACAAGG